rnacentral:rRNA from 1 species
AGAGUUUGAUCCUGGCUCAGAUUGAACGCUGGCGGCAUGCCUUACACAUGCAAGUCGAACGGCAGCGCGGGAGCAAUCCUGGCGGCGAGUGGCGAACGGGUGAGUAAUACAUCGGAACGUGCCCAAUCGUGGGGGAUAACGCAGCGAAAGCUGUGCUAAUACCGCAUACGAUCUACGGAUGAAAGCAGGGGACUCGCAAGAGCCUUGCGCGAAUGGAGCGGCCGAUGGCUGAUUAGGUAGUUGGUGGGGUAAAGGCUCACCAAGCCGACGAUCUGUAGCUGGUCUGAGAGGACGACCAGCCACACUGGGACUGAGACACGGCCCAGACUCCUACGGGAGGCAGCAGUGGGGAAUUUUGGACAAUGGGCGAAAGCCUGAUCCAGCCAUGCCGCGUGCAGGAUGAAGGCCUUCGGGUUGUAAACUGCUUUUGUACGGAACGAAAAGUCUCCUUCUAAUAAAUGGGGAUCA